UAACUUUUGACUCUUUGUCUUAUUUAAAUUUUUUUUAUAAUUAGUAUUUUUGUUGUUGUUAGAUGAUAAAACAUAAAUAAUACAUUAUGUGUGACUAUUUUUAAAAAAAAAUAUUUUUUCAAAUAAGACAGAGGGUAGAACGUUG
rnacentral:pre_miRNA from 1 species